rnacentral:rRNA from 1 species
GACGAACGCUGGCGGCGUGCUUAACACAUGCAGGUCGAACGGAAAGGCCCUGCUUUUGUGGGGUGCUCGAGUGGCGAACGGGCGAGUAACACGUGAGUAACCUGCCCUUGACUUUGGGAUAACUUCAGGAAACUGGGGCUAAUACCGGAUAGGAGCUCCUGCUGCAUGGUGGGGGUUGGAAAGUUUCGGCGGUUGGGGAUGGACUCGCGGCUUAUCAGCUUGUUGGUGGGGUAGUGGCUUACCAAGGCUUUGACGGGUAGCCGGCCUGAGAGGGUGACCGGCCACAUUGGGACUGAGAUACGGCCCAGACUCCUACGGGAGGCAGCAGUGGGGAAUAUUGCACAAUGGGCGGAAGCCUGAUGCAGCAACGCCGCAUGCGGGAUGACGGCCUUCGGGUUGUAAACCGCUUUCGCCUGUGACGAAGCGUGAGUGACGGUAAUGGGUAAAGAAGCACCGGCUAACUACGUG